rnacentral:rRNA from 1 species
GACGAACGCUGGCGGCGUGCCUAAUACAUGCAAGUCGAACGCAGUGGGGACGGGGGAGUAACACGUGGGUAACCUCCCAUCAGAGGGGAUAACACUUGGAAACAGGUGCUAAACCGAUAGUGGUGGAUGGGCCCGCGGUGCAUUAGCUAGUUGGUGAGGGAACGGCUCACCAAGGCCGCGAUGCAGAGCCGAACUGAGAGGGUGAUCGGCAACACUGGUACUGAGACACGGCCCAGACUCCUACGGGAGGCAGCAGUAGGGAAUCUUCGGCAAUGGACGAAAGUCUGACCGAGCAACGCCGCGUGAGUGAAGAAGGUGUGCGGAUCGUAAAACUCUGUUGUUAGAGAAGCGGUAUCUAACCAGAAAGCCACGGCUAACUACGUGCCAGCAGCCGCGGUAAUAC